rnacentral:rRNA from 1 species
GGGUUAGUAGGUUGGUCAUGCCUCUGGUAUGUACUGGUCUCACUGAUCCCUCCUUCCUGAUGAGCCGUAAUGCCAUUAAUUUGGUGUUGCGGGGAAUUUGGACUGUUACUUUGAAAAAAUUAGAGUGUUUAAAGCAGGCAAAAUGCUUGAAUACAUUAGCAUGGAAUAAUAGAAUAGGACGUGCGGUUCUAUUUUGUUGGUUUCUAGGAUCGCCGUA